UACGUAGGGAGCAAGCGUUGUCCGGAAUUAUUGGGCGUAAAGAGCUCGUAGGUGGUUUGUUACGUCUGCUGUGAAAACCUAGGGCUUAACCCUGGGCCUGCAGUGGAUACGGGCAGACUAGAGGUAGGUAGGGGAGAAUGGAAUUCCAGGUGUAGCGGUGAAAUGCGCAGAUAUCGGGAGGAACACCGGUGGCGAAGGCGGUUCUCUGGGCCUUACCUGACACUGAGGAGCGAAAGCGUGGGGAGCGAACAGG
rnacentral:rRNA from 1 species